AGAGUUUGAUCCUGGCUCAGAUUGAACGCUGGCGGCAUGCUUUACACAUGCAAGUCGAACGGCAGCACGGGGGCAACCCUGGUGGCGAGUGGCGAACGGGUGAGUAAUAUAUCGGAACGUACCCGGAAAUGGGGGAUAACGUAGCGAAAGUUGCGCUAAUGCCGCAUAUGCCCUAAGGGGGAAAGCGGGGGAUUCGCAAGAACCUCGCGUUUUCGGAGCGGCCGAUAUCGGAUUAGCUAGUAGGUGAGGUAAAGGCUCACCUAGGCGACGAUCCGUAGCUGGUCUGAGAGGACGACCAGCCACACUGGAACUGAGACACGGUCCAGACUCCUACGGGAGGCAGCAGUGGGGAAUUUUGGACAAUGGGCGCAAGCCUGAUCCAGCCAUGCCGCGUGAGUGAAGAAGGCCUUCGGGUUGUAAAGCUCUUUCAGCCGGAAAGAAAACGCACGGGUUAAUACCCUGUGUGGAUGACGGUACCGGAAGAAGAAGCACCGGCUAACUACGUGCCAGCAGCCGCGGUAAUACGUAGGGUGCGAGCGUUAAUCGGAAUUACUGGGCGUAAAGCGUGCGCAGGCGGUUUUGUAAGACAGAUGUGAAAUCCCCGGGCUUAACCUGGGAACUGCAUUUGUAACUGCAAGGCUAGAGUACGGCAGAGGGGGGUAGAAUUCCACGUGUAGCAGUGAAAUGCGUAAAUAUGUGGAGGAAUACCGAUGGCGAAGGCAGCCCCUGGGUCGAUACUGACGCUCAUGC
rnacentral:rRNA from 1 species